GGCUAGUGAUGAUUACCUAAGGAAGUCAUGCACCACUCUCAUGAUUUUAAUCAGUCUGCUGAUAAAUUCUUUAUACCCAAAUUCUUAUGAAUCU